AUUGAACGCUGGCGGCAGGCCUAACACAUGCAAGUCGAACGGUAACAGGAAACAGCUUGCUGUUUCGCUGACGAGUGGCGGACGGGUGAGUAAUGUCUGGGAAACUGCCUGAUGGAGGGGGAUAACUACUGGAAACGGUAGCUAAUACCGCAUAACGUCGCAAGACCAAAGAGGGGGACCUUCGGGCCUCUUGCCAUCGGAUGUGCCCAGAUGGGAUUAGCUAGUAGGUGGGGUAACGGCUCACCUAGGCGACGAUCCCUAGCUGGUCUGAGAGGAUGACCAGCCACACUGGAACUGAGACACGGUCCAGACUCCUACGGGAGGCAGCAGUGGGGAAUAUUGCACAAUGGGCGCAAGCCUGAUGCAGCCAUGCCGCGUGUAUGAAGAAGGCCUUCGGGUUGUAAAGUACUUUCAGCGGGGAGGAAGGGAGUAAAGUUAAUACCUUUGCUCAUUGACGUUACCCGCAGAAGAAGCACCGGCUAACUCUGUG
rnacentral:rRNA from 1 species